rnacentral:ncRNA from 1 species
AAUGAUAGAGGUGCGUUUUUUAUUAGUAAGUAUGUAGAUGUAUUUAGGUACAAAAGAAAUAUACUAAAAGGAAAAAAUGCCGAAGAUUUAAAAUACCUAAAUAUUUUAAAUCUGGUUGUAGUGGUUAAUAGCCUUAUGACUGUCGUCUUUUUAUUGACGGAGAGCUAUCUG